rnacentral:misc_RNA from 1 species
CGAAAGCAAUGAUUAAUCAUGAUAGAUAAAAUUACCCUUGCAAGGUGAAUUGUCAAAUGAAAGCGAGGAUGGAAGAAGCAAGAUCAAUUUCUGUUCUCGGGGAUCUCAUAUCGAUCGUGUGUGUACAGGAAUUAUAUAAAUUAACAUAUCUCUAUAAUUUUAUUAAAGGUGUGUCCUAUAGCAAUGUGUGCAACUGUUUGAAAAAAAAAACUGAAAAUUUUUGAAUCACAUUAAAUGGAGGUUUAGUUAGGGUUUCAAAUUUUGUUUUCUGGCUUCAUUUUAGCGGAGGGCUCCCAUCUAAGCUUUUGGGAGGGAAAACCAUAAAAACCCACAUCACGAUUCACAGGUCAGUUUCUCUUUUAAAGGAAUUAUCAGAUGAGCACUAUAGUACAUAGAACUCCCAAAUCCUCUGGGAGUCGGUCAUUAUUUUUCCAAGAUUUGGCAUCCCCUGUCUCUGCCCAUAAAGGGAAAUUCUCAACACCAGGUCAGGCAGCUGCAGUAUCUGCUCUAUGGCGUGACAAUUUUGGCGGUUUAGAUCUUCCACCCCCUCCCAUGUAUACCUUGGAGGACCGUUCAGAUUUCUCUCCUAAGUUUGGAAUUCCUGAUUACCCUCCCUCCCCAGAAGUAAAAUCGGACCCAAGAACUCCAAUCCAAAGUUCUGGGAGGGACUUCAUGUCUCCAGCAAAAAGCAAAUCUGAGGCUAGCACUUCAUUUGCUUUGAUGAGUGGUCAACACAAUCAACAAGUUUCAGCAAGUUCACCAUGGUGGUCAUCAACCAAGGCUAGUAGCAGUGAGCAAGAAGAUAAGGGGAAGGGUUCUCCAGUUGAAGGUGUGGUCCAACCUGGUGCUUUGAUCACACUCCCUCCACCGAGGGAAGUUGCAAGACCGGAGAUGCAGAGGAACUGCUUGCGACCAGGGAAUCUUGAUGAGGAAGAAUGGGUUACUGUUUAUGGGUUCUCUCCUGGUGAUACCAAUUUAGUUUUGCGGGAGUUUGAAAGAUGUGGUUUGAUCUUGAAACAUGUUCCUGGUCCAAGGGACGCUAACUGGAUGCACAUUCUUUAUCAGGUUCUACUUGUUUGCUAUAUUAUGUAAUUUGAGGUAGAGGAUUCUUUUUUUAUUUUUGGUUGAUUUAAGUGGAACAGUUGAUAACUGAUAAAUCCAGGAGGUUGAACAUGAUGACAAUGUCACGUUCGUGCAGUUAAUUUUUUGAGAUCUAGAGCAGUGAACUGUUGCACAGAAUUUAUGUAAAACAUGGAAGUGCCUGUGCAUGUUAUUUAUCUUGUUAUGUGUUGGGUAGUUUGUAUAUAAUAGAUAAUGGUUGGUUUUGGCUGUCAUUUCUUAGGGUUCUUUUAAUUUCAAAAUAUGAAAAUGAUAUUUAUAAUCCUAUUUUGUCAGCGUUUACAAAAUGUGCUUACUGUUAUUUGAACUUUUUUAUGAUCUGAAGAAUUCAACUGAGGCUAUAGGUCUGAAAUGCUACUGCUGCUGUCUUUUUUCUCUUCUUCGUUUUCCUGCUCCUUUUUUCAACUUUAAAAAAAGUUUGUUAGUGCUUAUAGAGUAUAGAGUCUAUUGAACAAUGUUAUCCAUCUGUUUUCAUUAGUGUUUACCACAAUUGAGGCCUUGUCUUUCUUAACUUGUAGAUUUUGCUGAUAAGCAUAGGCAAAGUGGAAUUGAGUUUUCCUGUUAAUUUUUUAGCCAAUGAUAUUAAGAUAUGACAUAAUUGUGAGUUUGCUGAUGAUAUAUUUAGCAAGUUAUCAUUAACUGAACUGUCAUUUUCGUUGGUGUAGAGUCAAUCUGAUGCUCAGAAGGCUCUCAGCAAGAACGGGAUGCAAAUAAAUGGGGUGCUAAUAGUAGGCGUGAAACCAGUAGAUCCAAUGCAACGCGAAGCUUUGAAUGAAAGACUUAACAAUCAGGGAUUCAUGACUUUACCCCCACCACCAUCUAGAAGUGCAGAUUUGAAGACAAUAAGAGCUUCUUCUCGCCCCUACUAUCUUCAAAAUGGCAGUGGCAGCACCCAGCAGUCAGCAGUUGCCAUUGCUUCCCCAACCAAGUCUAUGGUAUCCAAAAUCUUUGAUGUGAUGUUUGGCAUUUAGGUUAAUUUUCUGUUCAUGGGUAUGGCUUUUAUUAUCUUCUACGGUGAGAUGCAUGACGGCUUUUGGCAAUUCAGGUAUAAGGUUGAGAGUCUUGGAUAUCUUUUCCAUGUGAGAGUUGUAU